AAAAUAAAGAGCAAGGUCCCUGCAGGAUGCACAGGUCAGUGCUGGAACACCCUGCCACCAAGUGCUGUGAAUGCCAAAAGGCUGCAAGGAUUCAAGGGGAGCUGGGGCAAGUUCAGACAAGACGUUGAGAUGGAUGGUCCUUUUCUCUGCUACGCUUCAGCCACUUGUCUCCUGCACCCCUUCACUGGAUGUUUUGCAACGUCUAACUUGUAGCAAAUGGGAUAAUAAGAGGUGAGAGACUGAGGGAGACAAGAUCUGCAGUAAACAUGGGACAAAUCUGCGUGAGAAAGUGAAAGGAGGUGAGUGGGCAGAGGAGGGGAUGAAAUAGUGCAAACUCUUUUAUGUGGUGAAGUACCUGGGGUACAUGGCACUACCCUAUGACUGAGGCACAAGUGAAAUUUUGCUGAAAAUUAUAGAAAAUUCCAGUUAUACUCUCAAUCAGUUGAUGAAGUUUCUGCUAAAUUUAAUGCUCUAUCUUCUAUGCUUUUAAAAAACAGUUUUUGUUGUUGUUGUUUUUCCAGUUGUGGUACAGAGAAGGAAGCAGCACUGGAGAAGGAACGAGCUGCUGAUGGCAGGCUCUGCCUACAGUAGCAGAAGAAAUUAAACCUUAUUGACAGUGUUCAUCUCUGGAACAAUGUUUAUCUCUAGGGGAGAGAAGCAUAAAGUCACAUGAAAAGAGAGACUGAACAAGAUAGAGGAAACCUGGGAAAGGGGAGAAGUACAGGCAUUUUUUAGUGGCAAGCCUAAGAUAAACUUAUGAAUGCAGAAUCAGGCUCCACAUAAGAUCAGUGUUGGUAUCACUUUGGAAGUUUUAUAUGAUUGAUUUUCUUGGUUUUGUCACAAAUAAGGCUAAAUGUAAACAUAUUGUUUACUCUUUUAUCUAUCUAAACUUGAAACACAUACAGUAUGUGUGGCCAUUAUUUACCAGUAUUACCACCUGUGUGCUGCUUUGUCUAGGUCACCUUGCACAUCUGCAGCAGUAAGGAACAUUUCAGUGAGUUAGGGCACUUCUUGCUCAGUGACUGUUUAAAUAUUAGUUUCUUCUGUGGGAGCUAUGGAGUGGUACCAGCAAUGAAACUGGCCCAGCACUGCCAGCAGUAAACUACAUCUGUGAAAGUAUUCUGAGCUUAAGGAGAAACAAUCAG